GGCAGACGGGAGAGUAACACGUGGGAACGUGCCCUUCAGUUCGGAACAACCCAGGGAAACUUGGGCUAAUACCGGAUACGUCCGUAAGGAGAAAGAUUUAUCGCUGAAGGAUCGGCCCGCGUCUGAUUAGCUAGUUGGUGGGGUAAUGGCUCACCAAGGCGACGAUCAGUAGCUGGUCUGAGAGGAUGAUCAGCCUCACUGGGACUGAGACACGGCCCAGACUCCUACGGGAGGCAGCAGUGGGGAAUCUUGGACAAUGGGCGCAAGCCUGAUCCAGCCUUGCCGCGUGGGUGAUGAAGGCCCUAGGGUUGUAAAGCCCUUUCGGCGGGGAAGAUAAUGACGGUACCCGCAGAAGAAGCCCCGGCUAACUUCGUGCCAGCCGCCGCGG
rnacentral:rRNA from 1 species